AUUGAACGCUGGCGGUAGGCCUAACACAUGCAAGUCGAACGGCAGCACAGUAAGAGCUUGCUCUUACGGGUGGCGAGUGGCGGACGAGUGAGGAAUACAUCGGAAUCUACUUUUUCGUGGGGGAUAACGUAGGGAAACUUACGCUAAUACCGCAUACGACCUACGGGUGAAAGCAGGGGAUCUUCGGACCUUGCGCGAUUGAAUGAGCCGAUGUCGGAUUAGCUAGUUGGCGGGGUAAAGGCCCACCAAGGCGACGAUCCGUAGCUGGUCUGAGAGGAUGAUCAGCCACACUGGAACUGAGACACGGUCCAGACUCCUACGGGAGGCAGCAGUGGGGAAUAUUGGACAAUGGGCGCAAGCCUGAUCCAGCCAUACCGCGUGGGUGAAGAAGGCCUUCGGGUUGUAAAGCCCUUUUGUUGGGAAAGAAAAGCAGCAGGUUAAUACCCCGCUGUUCUGACGGUACCCAAAGAAUAAGCACCGGCUAACUUCGUG
rnacentral:rRNA from 1 species